AUACGGAGGGUGCAAGCGUUGUUCGGAAUCACUGGGCGUAAAGGGCGCGCAGGCGGUUUUACAAGUCAGAUGUGAAAGCCCACGGCUCAACCGUGGAAGUGCAUUUGAAACUGUAAGACUUGAGUAUCAGAGGGGAAGGUGGAAUUCCCGGUGUAGAGGUGAAAUUCGUAGAUAUCGGGAGGAAUACCGGUGGCGAAGGCGACUUUCUGGCUGAAUACUGACGCUGAGGCGCGAAAGCGUGGGGAGCAAACAGGAUUAGAAACCCCAGUAGUCC
rnacentral:rRNA from 1 species